GAGAGAGAGAGGAUGGAGGGAGGGAGGAGUGAACGACCGACGGAAAAUGAAUCGCAAGCUGCAGGAGAAUAGGUUGUCAGCAUCCAGAGCUCCAAGGUCUGACUCUCAUUAAAGCGUCCGUACGUCUCUCUCACCUCCAGGAUGGAGGGGCUGCUGCGGCUGAGUCUACCCGGAGCGUGAGGAGCCUUCCUGGGCUUCGUCUGCGUCAUCCUCCCCCUGUCUCUCUCUGCCCUGGUCCCCCUAUACUCAUCCAUCACUUGACCUCUGCAGUGCAAGAGAGCAUCUGGACCCACACGACACCUCCCCCUAAUCCCCCACACUGAGUUGCCAGGGCAACCAUGGAUGGACUACGCCUGCCACCGGUCAUCGAGGAGGUCAUGGACCCUGCAGAUGACAUAUGUGACCUGAAGGUGGAGAGGCCUGGCAUUGUGGACAAGCUGACGGUCAAAGAGAGGGAGUCCCUGGAGGAGAACGAUGAGAAGGAGGAGAAAGAGAAGGAGGUGGAGUUGGGGAACGGCGAGAAGGGCCAGCAGGAGGAGCAAGGAGAGGAGAAGGAGGUGAAAGUGGAGGAGGACGAGGAGGAGGAGGAGGAGGAGGAGGAAGGAGGAAUGUUAGAGGAGGAUGACUUGGAGGAGUUGAGGUCCCAGGUGCUGCAGCUGGUGUUGGAGCUGGAGGAGGCCAGGGAUGUGUCUCAACGACAUGAAGAGAGCUUCAUGGAGCUACAAGGUCUGUUGGAAGAUGAGCGUCUGGCCAGUGCUCACCAGGCAGAGAGCUUUACCAGACAGAUCCAGAGACUGCAAGCUCAGCUGCGUUCGGUCCAGGAGGAGAUGGACUCUCUGGAGGAGGAGAAGGAGAGUGAGCUGGGGGAGGUGCAGGAGGAGCUGAGGUCUGCCCAGGAGGAGGUGCUGGUUCUGCAGCAGGCGGGGGAGGAGGCAGCAGCGGAGAGGGAGAACGACAUCGCCUCCCUGCAGGAGGAGCUGUGUCGUCUGAGGGCCGAGCUGCAGCGUCUCCGCACCACGGCCCAAGAGUACGAGCUGGAGAUCACCACCCUGCGGGCUGAAAUCAGUAUGAAGAGCAUGAGGAGGGAGGGAGAGACUGACGGUGAGGUAAGCCAGCUGGCGGCGGAGUGUCAUACGAUUUCAGACGAGUGUCAGACCCUGAAGGACGAAAACAAACAGCUGAGCCUCAAACUGCAGCAGCUACAGCGAGCCGGCUCCAAUGAUGUCUACCUGGCCUUGAGAGGGGAGGGGGAUGAGGACCAGAAGGAUGAGGGUGUUGGGCAGGAUGAGGAAUCAGUGAAGGCUGGAGGCUACAUGACCCUGUCUCAGACCCAGGGUGGGCAGACCCAGACUGGGCAAGGUGGGCGCUUGGUGGAUGCCUCCAUCCAGAAGAACAUCUCGUUCGAUGGCAAGCCUAUCACCAACUGGAACGGGGGACCCUCUGAAGCCUUCUCCCUACGAGACCAGCUCAAACUGGCUGAAGAGAGGGCCUCGCAAGUACAGAGACAAUGUGAGGGGUUGAAGGGGGAGCUUGCGGACCUGCAGGGGCUAUUUGACUGCAGCCAGAAGGAGAGGGUUGAGCUGGAGCAGGAACUGCAUCACUAUAGGGCGGAGCUAGAGAGGCUUGGCGGCAAGAAGUCACAGGUGAGAGGUCAGCGGUCGGAGGGAGGUAACUUUGGUAACAAUGGCCGACAAAAGAUGGCCUCUUCUAUGUAUGAGUUGGUGAAAACAAGUGUUACUAUAAGGGGGCACAACACAUGUGCUAUAAGAAGGGUUAUGGUGGUGAAGGAGCUAGUUAUGAGGUAAGUAGAAGAGAACGAGAUGACACACCUAUACACAUACACACCUGUAUUUACAGUACACUUGAGUAACUGUGUGCUAACUAACCCAUUCUCCUCAAGCAUCAAGUCUGUCUGUCUGUCUGUACUGUGUGCAUGUGGGUCAGUAACAACAGCUCAGUCAAACAGCUAUGUCUCAUGGAAUCGUGACUUGUCUCUCGUCCUCUUUCUGCCUCCAGUGGUGUAGUCAGUUAUUCUUGUGUCCUCGACUUUGGUCCCUGGCUUCUUCCGCCCUUUUCUCAACAUGCAUUGCUUCAAUGGCGGUGUGUCUCUGCGUCCUGUCGCCCUGUCCAGUGUCUGUCCCCGUGUCCACCUAAACAACCCGGUCCAUAUCUUCUUUCUCUUCCUGUCUGAUGCCAUCAAAACCAGGAAGUGCUGAAUCAGAGUUUUGUUGAAAACUGAAUAACAAAAAUGACAAAUCAACCCACAUGUUAUUAUAGUGUUCAAAUGUGCGCUUAUAAGCCAGCCACUCCACCCUUGAUGAUUUGAUUGGGUGUACGUGGUCUCCUUAUCAAGGAUUUGGAAUUAGACCAUCCAGCCUGAGUACCACAGUAGUUCAUGUCACUCACCUGUCCUCCAUAGUUGUAGUUUAUCUUGUGACUAAACCCCCUCACCCGCACUGCUGGGCUGCCUACAACUCCCAGGGUUCUCUCUGUCUGAGUGACCGUUUGAGUGACAGGCAGCACUUUUCAGUAUGGGCAGAGAUCUUUAAAUGACAAGAUGGAAUCAUUACACAAGUUGUUCAUCUUGUCUUUAACCAUCUUUGAUGUGCUCUAAUGGCAUGCUCUUUCUGUUUCUCCCCUCCCUUCAUCGUUUCCAUGGCUGUGUUUUGUUGAAAACUCCUAUUUAUAAACACAUUCACAUUCAUAUGGUCAAAUCUGUUUACCAUAACCACCCUACAAAAUGUUGUGCAAUAUGGUUUUUACAAUCUGCCUAUCUCUUUAUUUCUUUCGUUCUGACCUCUCUGUCACUCACCCUCUCUGUCGUUGUCUAUUGGUCUCUCUACCUGUCUAUCUGCCUGUCAUCCCAUUUAUCUACCUCUCAAUCACCUCAUGAUGUUUUAUGUACAUAUAUUUAUCUGUUGUCUCUUCAUCUAUCUCUCCACAUGUAAUUCUUUCAUUUUUGCCUCUCUUUAUUAUGAUUUGUGAUUUCUCUCACCACCUCCCUCCUCCUCUCUCAUGCCCCCACGAUCCCUUGUUUUCUCCCCAGAACUGCACUCCUCCGUCUGAGCCCCCUGUUCUCUCCAUCCCCUUCAUAGGAAUGAUUGUAAUAAUGGCCCUGAUAUGGUGCUGGUGGGAGGAGCUGGCGUCCUAGAGGGGACCAGGAGAGCGAGGGAGGCUGGAACCUGGUGGCGGUGGUUGCCGUGGCAGCGCUUGUAGUCCUGAUAGUCCCCAGCCUUUCUAGAGCAUUUACCUGAGGACUACACAGAAAGGAAGUCACUGUACAGGAAAUGACUGUGCCGGUUGCCCAUGGCAACACAGGCAAUGCCAUGCCCCUAUCUCAUGAUGCCCCUGUCAAAUCUCCUCCUCGAUGCAUCUUCCAAGGAGGACUACAUCAAAAACAUUUUCACCAGGAAAUACAACACAACAAGGAAGUAGUCCCAUACAUUACUCAAGGAGAAAUACAUAUACCUGUUUAAGCCACUCUAACGAUAAGGACUGCAAUAUCUUGUUUCUCUCUUUAAAGUCCUUCAGUUUGACUCAAUCGGUUUCCCUCUCUACUACUCUUCUCUCUACACUUCUUUAGAUACACUUACGAGUUUAAGGGAACAGCAUGAUAUAAAGGUGACUGCCUCGGAGUUUGUGGCAGUACUGUGUCUGCAUGGGCGUCAAUGGAAAGACACAAUUUAGUACAGAACAUGUCUGAGCAUUUAUUGAUUGAUUGGUUGAUGGUUUAUUGGUUGAUUGGUUGAUGGUUGAUUGGUUUAUUGUUUGAUUGGUUGAUGCUUGAUUGGUUUAUUUACAACCUGUAAAGGUUGAAUUGUGAAAAGCUCAUGCCUUAUUGUUUCCUUUGCACAUAUUGAGUCACUGAUAAGAUGUUUCUCUUUCUAAUGGGCAUGUGGUCUUUUCCCAGACCCUACCCCUCCUUUUGAAUCACUUUGAACAUUGCCAAUGCGAAUGUCUCUGCUGCACUUUGCGUGUCUUUACGGCUCACAAUUGACUAUCUUAACACUUUUCCUUCUGUUUCUGUUGUGGCAUGCUCUUUUUACGUUUAAAUGAAGUUGUGUGGAGGAGUGUUUGAUUAUGUGAGUUUGAUGUAUUGGAUGUUUGUCUCCUUGGUAAAUGGUCCUUUCUCUCUCUCGUCUGCAUCUGUCACUCUCUCUCACUCUCUGCACUUUCUCCUUAUUGGUUAUUGGUUAUAUCUGUAUGUGUAUGGAACCACAACCACUAUACACAUCUAUACAGAUUAACAAUACUAUCAUACAUGCAACUUGGGGUAUUCAAUUUGACAGUCCAAAUGAUUUCCAGCUAGAUAUCUAUUUUUGUAGCCGUAGGAACAAUUUGUCCCCAAGACUGAGGAGUUAUUUAAUGACUGAUUCCACUGUGUUUGGUUAUGCUUAGAAACAGAAUUGAACAAGGCUCGUUAUUUGAAACAGAGAGUUGUUUUUGUAAAUAGACAUUUGUGUUUAAAUGUUUUGCGUUCUUUUUUAAAAUAUUAAUCGUCACAUUCUGAAAAAUGACAAACAAUCAAUAUAGGCCACCAAAAUGAAAAGUGGAGCCAGUGAUGAAAUGUGGACCAUUGUAUUCCAAGAUGCGUAUUUUGGGUGUGUUCUCUUACCUAGUCUUUUCGUCUUGUACCGCUUGCGUUCUAAUCGCUGAUAUCUAUGUUCUCUAACGAUGAUGCCCUUUUCUUUGUUGGCACGAAGCACACAGUUUAGUCACAGGUUCUGCAUGGGAACUUUUCAAUGUCAUUGCUGUAAACUUGACACAACACAUUCCAAUGAUAGAUUGACUUAACAACAGCGAGGUCACACUGUUGUCAUGGAGAAGACGUCUAACCUUUACUCUGCCGUUUCGGCACCUACGGAGUGCACCGAGAAUACUUUUUGACUCUUACUCUACCUUUGGCAUGAUUUAGCUACCGUGUAAAUACAUAGCAAGGCAAAUCAUUUAAACUCCUUUGCGUGACCUGUGGAGCAAAAAGUCAGAAAUGCGCUUUGCAUUGGAGGUGGGACGGUUAUUUUAAAGUUAAAUGGUCUUUGUCCAAGAACACACAACGACUAUGACUGAGAGAGCAAUCUCACCAUAAAUGUUUUAUUUUCUAGAGGAUCGUUUGUGAGAAACGUGUACAGAAUGCAGUAAGCGUUAUAGCUGGUGCCUGGAUUCGUAGUGUGCUGUCAUGACUGACAGUUAGUUGGCUUGUUUCAUAUAUGUAUGUAGGCGAGCUAAUUCGCUUAAUUCCAUGGGUGUGUAGGUGACAAGACAUUGAAAGCGUGCUUAGCCAAUAUUCUUCUGUAUUCCAAUAUCCCAUUGUAGAGUUAUAGCAUUAUAAAUAUGUAUAGGUAAUUAGUGCUUCUAGUUUGUGCUAUGAAUCAAUAAAUUACUACUAUAAGUAUAUAAUAUUAGUUUCAAUACAUGUUUCACAGUCAUAACUGUGUGAUGGGCAAUUGAACACUGAGGUGUACUGAAAAACAUGAAUGCUUAUAGGCUAUGCAUAGAAUAUUUUUUCCACAGUGCAGAGACAAUAUAAGACCUCAUUGGUAGGUAAAUGCAUGCUACAGUGUAUGUGAAAACGAUAUCUGUAGUUUUGGAAAAAAAUGUGGUAUUUGUAUUGUGCUGUAAAUAGGAAAUAGUUUUUCACAGUUUAAUAACAUGGUUUGUUGAUUGAGAGCAGUUCUAGAUUGAGUAGAGGGUUCUUUUUGAAUUGACUGAACACAGCCAGUGCAUGAAUAGUGUAUAUGUGUGAGACAGUAACAUGUAUAGCUAUUGCAUGCUAGGCUUAGUAAACAACUUGCAUGCCUAUUGAUGGGUAGAUCUAGUUCCUGUAGUGACAGUCAUUUCAGCCAAUCCAUUGUGACUGUCUUCAUGCAUGACUAAUCAGAAUCAUUUGUGAUUUUUGUUCUAACUAUGUCAGUCUCUCUUAGUUGAUUUACUACUUUACUGGUUUGUCACUAUUAAUAUUAUCACUUUGGUUUCAUACAGUCCCUUCUAUUCUAUCGCACUCUACUCUAUUCUACUUUUCUUCUUCGAUUGUCUGGUCUCUACAAUGUGUAUAGAUUGUUCGGGUAUUUAUCUUCACUUUUCUGCUGUGCUUCAAAUACUGUAAAAUCCACUGACAGUGUCCUUUUUUUUCUACCCUGCUUCUAUUCCAGCAUGGAAGCUUAAACAGUAAAGGCGAGACACAUUACGGAAACUAUUCUACAUGUCAAAACAACCUGUGCUCUUAACUAGAAACUGGCUACUGCUCACUGUAUGUGAUGAUGUGAAGUUUGACCCUGUGACCUUAUGUAAAGCUGCAGCUCGUUCUGUAUGUCUCUCUGUCUGGGUCUGUGUGACAUGGCUACUGUCAAUGUCUCUUUUAUGCAGCGCUGAAUCCGAUGUUGCCAUAGUCUCUACUACAGCACCUUGUCAGUCAAUGUCUCAAUGGGCUUUUAAUGAGAAUAUUGUGAGUAUUUUGGUAAAUAGUCUGUACAUUUUGUAAAUGAACUGAGAAAUAAAAGUAGUUUAUCCUCAUUC